rnacentral:rRNA from 1 species
UACGUAGGGACCGAGCGUUGUCCGGAAUUAUUGGGCGUAAAGAGCUCGUAGGCGGUUUGUCGCGUCUGCCGUGAAAGUCCGGGGCUCAACUCCGGAUCUGCGGUGGGUACGGGCAGACUAGAGUGAUGUAGGGGAGACUGGAAUUCCUGGUGUAGCGGUGAAAUGCGCAGAUAUCAGGAGGAACACCGGUGGCGAAGGCGGGGUCUCUGGGGCCGUAACUGACGCUGAGGAGCGAAAAGCGUGGGGAGCGAACAGG